GAUGAACGCUGGCGGCGUGCUUAACACAUGCAAGUCGAACGGUGAAGGCGGAGCUUUCUCUGCUGGAUCAGUGGCGAACGGGUGAGUAACACGUGAGCAAUCUGCCCCUGACUCUGGGAUAAGCGCUGGAAACGGCGUCUAAUACUGGAUACGAGCUGCGAAGGCAUCUUCAGCAGCUGGAAAGAACUUCGGUCAGGGCUGGGCUCGCGGGCUAUCAGCUUGUUGGUGGGGUAAGGGCUCACCAAGGCGUCGACGGGUAGCCGGCCUGGGAGGGUGAACGGCCACACGGGGCCUGAGAGAGGGAGCAGACUCCUACGGGAGGCAGCGGGCGAGAAUAUGGCACAAUGGGCGAAAGCCUGAUGCAGCAACGCCGGGUGAGGGACGACGGCCUUCGGGUUGUAAACAACUUUGAGCGGGGAAGAAGCGAAAGUGACGGUACCUGAAGAAAAAGCGCCGGCUAACUACGUG
rnacentral:rRNA from 1 species